UUAAUUGAAACCAAAAUAGAGGUAUACCACUGUUAAUGGUAUCAUUGAGAAUAUCUCCAAUUAAA
rnacentral:tRNA from 1 species